CCCUAGUAGCGGCGAGCGAAGCGGGAAGAGCUCAAAUUUAUAAUCUGGCACCUUCGGUGUCCGAGUUGUAAUCUCUAGAAGUGUUUUCCGCGUUGGACCGCACACAAGUCUGUUGGAAUACAGCGGCAUAGUGGUGAAACCCCCGUAUAUGGUGCGGACGCCCAGCGCUUUGUGAUACACUUUCAAUGAGUCGAGUUGUUUGGGAAUGCAGCUCAAAUUGGGUGGUAAAUUCCAUCUAAAGCUAAAUAUUGGCGAGAGACCGAUAGCGAACAAGUACCGUGAGGGAAAGAUGAAAAGCACUUUGGAAAGAGAGUUAACAGUACGUGAAAUUGUUGGAAGGGAAACGCUUGAAGUCAGACUUGCUUGCCGGAGCUUGCUUCGGUUUGCAGGCCAGCAUCAGUUUUCCGGGGUGGAUAAUGACGGUUUGAAGGUAGCAGUCUCGGCUGUGUUAUAGCUUUCCGUUGGAUACGCCCUGGGGGACUGAGGAACGCAGCGUGCUUUUUGCGAAAGACUCGUCUUUUUCACGCUUAGGAUGCUGGUGGAAUGGCUUUAAACGGUCCGUCUUGAAC
rnacentral:rRNA from 1 species